UACGUAGGGUGCGAGCGUUGUCCGGAAUUACUGGGCGUAAAGAGCUCGUAGGUGGUUUUGUCGCGUUGUUCGUGAAAACUCACAGCUUAACUGUGGGCGUGCGGGCGAUACGGGCAGACUGGAGUACUGCAGGGGAGACUGGAAGUUCCUGGUGUAGCGGUGGAAUGCGCAGAUAUCAGGAGGAACACCGGUGGCGAAGGCGGGUCUCUGGGCAGUGAACUGACGCUGGAGGAGCGAAAGCGUGGGGAGCGAACAGGA
rnacentral:rRNA from 1 species